rnacentral:rRNA from 1 species
GAUGAACGCUGGCGGCGUGCCUAAUACAUGCAAGUCGAGCGAACAGACGAGGAGCUUGCUCCUCUGACGUUAGCGGCGGACGGGUGAGUAACACGUGGAUAACCUACCUAUAAGACGGGGAUAACUUCGGGAAACCGGAGCAAAUGCCGGAGAAGAUAUUGAACCGCAGGGGUGAAUAGUGAAAGACGGUGGUGCUGUCACUUAUAGAGGGAUCCGCGCCGCAUGAGCUCGUUGGUAAGGUAACGGCUUACCAAGGCAACGAUGCGUAGCCGACCUGAGAGGGUGAUCGGCCACACUGGAACUGAGACACGGUCCAGACUCCUACGGGAGGCAGCAGUCGGGAAUCUUCCGCAAUGGGCGAAAGCCUGACGGAGCAGCGCCGCGUGAGUGAUGAAGGUCUUCGGAUCGUAAAACUCUGUUAUUAGGGAAGAACAAAUGUGUAAGUAACUAUGCCCGUCUUGACGGUACCUGAUCAGAAAGCCACGGCUAACUACGUG